GACACAGGGAAGCACUCGCAGCCCGAACCCUAAACAACGGUUUUGUACCCGGUUCCUGCUCUGGUUCGCAAGGCAUCCUGGGAAAAGCCACUGUGCGGCCGAGAGGCUCUGCCACCAAAUUCUUCCCAGGUGCUAAAGACUACUUCCCACUGGUGGCGCACGCCUUUGAUCCCAGCACUUGGGAGGCAGAGGCAAGCAGGCGGAUUUCUGAGUUCGAGUCCAGCCUGGUCCACAGAGUAAGUUCCAGGACAGCCAGGGAUACACAGAGAAGCCCUCGAAACAACAACGUCAACAACAAACCUGGGGCUGUGAGGCUGGUGGGACUAAUGUGGGACAACUGAAGAAGGGUCGUUAAUGACGUCUUUAUGAGCUAUAGCGGAUCAUGGAGCAGAUUUUGAAACCAGUAACAUCUCUUCCGUCUUCAUUUUCGGUUUAUAUUUGAUCUUAGUGGAUGUUCGCAUUAUUUUUAAUUAAAAUGUGAUAUCAAACUGG